rfam:Zostera marina strain Finnish scaffold_224, whole genome shotgun sequence.
GAUUGUUUGGCCGAGUGGUUUAAGACGUUAGAUUUAGACUUCGAGGUGUGAGUUCAAAUUUCACAAUAUUUA